rnacentral:Y_RNA from 1 species
GCUCACUAUGAAGGUAGUGAGUUAUGUCAAUUAUUCACUGUCAGUUACAGCUUGCACUCUUGUUUUACUUUGCCCCCUUCCCACUACUGCACUUGACUGGUCUUUA